GGGCUGUUGGUCUAGUGGUAUGAUUCUCGCUUUGGGACCGCAGUGUUUUGCGAGAGGUCCCGGGUUCAAUCCCCGGACAGCCCC